rnacentral:tRNA from 2 species
AGGGGUAUAGUUCAGCUGGUAGAAUAACGGUCUCCAAAACCGCAGGUCGUGGGUUCAAAUCCUACUGCCCCUGUCA